CUCUGUGUGUGUCUGUGUCUGUUUGUGUGUUGGGGGGAUGGUAGGACAGAAAACUCCAUAGACAACUCCGAUAUUCAGCCAAGGAAAGGGCUCUCUGGAGAUACAGCCUAUGGGACAGUGAACAAGGUUAAAUUCGACUUAGAGAGCUGGAUAGUUUCUUAGAAAAGAUACAGUGUAUCUUAAAGGAAGAAUAGACAUCAUCAGGCAAGGUAAGGAGGGAAAGGGCACUGAAGGUAAGGGAAUGACUUAAAGACCUAGAGAGGGCAGAGGAAUUUCUCCUGUAGUGUAAAGUGAUUUGACAACCCCGCUGGAUGUGCAGAGAGAAGAGAAAGGAGUUUAAGAGAAGAGCUGGGUUUCCUGCUAAGAUACUGGAAGGGCACUGAUGGCGUUCACCCAGAUAAUGAGCACAGGGCAAGAAGUUUGGAGGAGGAAAAGGGUGAGCUUGUGUUACUUUUGUUCAGUCAUUCAAUAAAAAGGUUGAGUGCCUUCUGUAGGCCAGAUACUGUGACCUGCUCUUGGGAAGACCACAGUGAUCAGAAACAGACAUGGUUCUCAUGUCUCAUGCAGAGCUCAUGAGCAUCAUGGAGCUUAAGAGUCCAGUGGAGAGACAGAUAUUUAUCAGAUGACCCCACAAGCCACUGUAAAGAUGCUCCUGUGGCAAGAAUAAUACUCACCAUACUCCAAGACCUUGGCCAAGGGGCUGAGAGCGGCCUGGGAGUUCAGACAUGGCUUCCCUUCCCCAAAGUAGCUGCGCAUGGGCUGGGAUCUGCAGGAUAAGCGAGACAGAAAGGGGAGAAGAACAUCCUGAGUAAGGGAAUGGCCCAUGCAAAGCCUGGGGCCAGCAAGUGAGGAGGGCGGGUAGAAUGAGCUCCCUGAGGAGGCUGACAUGAGGUAGGCUGGGCCAGAACACACAGAGC
rnacentral:lncRNA from 10 species